rnacentral:rRNA from 1 species
GUAAGUCCUUCCUUGGCAUGUCGGCAGAUCAUUCUGUUGGCAUUAAUUGCACAAUCAGAUGCACUGCGGAUGGCUCAGUUUAACGGCCGCAAUCUCCCGAGUUGCGGCCACUUACAUGGAUAUCUGUGGCAAUUCUAGAGCUAAUACAUGCCGAGUAUAACCCACUUCCGCAAUUCUGCGGAACCGGUUGCUUUAUUAGAACAAGACUCUAGCCUCCGGCCUGGGCGGGACAUUGACUCACUACCUUGCUUCGCACCUCUACAUCCUCCCGAGGAUUGUUUUGCGUGUUGUCGCAGCCCGUGUUUCAUUGCUCUCGGGGUCGCGAAACAAAUCCCAUGGUGAUGCACGAUAACGGACCACGAUCGCACGGUCAAUCCGUAUUGGCGACGAAUUCAAAUAGCACGUCUGCCUUAUCAGGCCAGAUGGCUUUUAUGGGGCAUGCCAUGGCAGUGACGGGAGACGGGGAAUCAGGGUUCGAUUCCGGAGAGGGAGCCUGAGAAAUGGCUACCACAUCCAAGGAAGGCAGCAGGCACGGAAAUUACCCACUGCCGACACGGUGAGGUAGUGACGACCCAUAACAAUUCGGGACUCUUUCGAGGCCCCGUAUUUGGAAUGAGCGCUCUUAAAUCCUUUGACGAGGAUCAAUUGGAGGGCAAGUCUGGUGCCAGCAGCCGCGGUAAUUCCAGCUCCAAGGGCAUAUACUAAAGCUGUUGCGGUUAAAAAGCUCGUAGUCGGAUCUCAGUUCUCGGGCCGGUGGUCCACCGCAAUUCCGCGGUGGUUGUCAAAAACACCACCUGCGUCCGGAACAAAAUCACAAAAGAUGGAACAAGAUACAGCCCUCCCAUCGUCUCGCUUGUUCAUCCUCUUUGCCGGGUGUGAUCACGGGUCAUGGCGGGUGGCUCGUAUAUAUUUGUCUCUUUUCUUUUUUCUUUUACUUUGAAUAAAUCAAUGUGCUUAAUGCAGGCGUUGCGCUCUGCUCGAAUGAUACAGCAUGGAAUAAUGGAACAUGUCCACGGUUUCUGUUGGUCUUGCGAAUCCGAGGAAAUGAUCGAUAGGGACUGACGGGGGCAUCCGUACUGCGGCGCGAGAGGUGAAAUUCUAGGACCGUCGCAAGACGCCCAAGUGCGAAAGCAUUUGCCAAGAAUGUUUUCGUUGAUCAAGAACGAAAGUUAGAGGUUCGAAGGCGAUCAGAUACCGCCCUAGUUCUAACUGUAAAUGAUGCCAACCAGCAAUGUGCCGGCGUUCCUCCAAUGACCCGACACGCAGCUUUCCGGGAAACCAAAGUCUUUGGGUUCCGGGGGAAGUAUGGUUGCAAAUCUGAAACUUAAAGGAAUUGACGGAAGGGCACCACCAGGAGUGGAGCCUGCGGCUUAAUUUGACUCAACACGGGAAAACUCACCCGGCCCGGACACUGGAAGGAUUGACAGAUUGAGAGCUCUUUCUUGAUUCAGUGGGUGGUGGUGCAUGGCCGUUCUUAGUUGGUGGAACGAUUUGUCUGGUUAAUUCCGAUAACGAACGAGACUCUAGCCUACUAAAUAGGCGACUGCCCCGUCCCGGCGCAGUCCGAUCUCUUCUUAGAGGGACAAGCGGCUUACAGCCGUACGAAACUGAGCAAUAACAGGUCUGUGAUGCCCUUAGAUGUCCGGGGCCGCACGCGCGCUACAAUGAAGGGAUCAGCGUGUGCUUGCUUAUUCCCCGGUCCGAGAUGACCGGGAAAUCCAUUGAAACCCCUUCGUGAUGGGGAUUGGGGUCUGCAACUGUCCCCCAUGAACGAGGAAUUCCCAGUAAGCGCGGGUCAUAAGCUCGCGUUGAUUACGUCCCUGCCCUUUGUACACACCGCCCGUCGCUACUACCGAUUGAAUGAUUUAUGAGGUCUUUGGACUGGUGUUCCCGGGCCCCCGUGCCUGGGUCACACGCUGGAAAGAUGACCGAACUUGAUCAUUUAGAGGAAGUAAAAGUCGUAACAAGGUUUCCGUANGUGAACCUGCGGAAGGAU